AAUGUUUUAGGUUAAAAAAACCUAUAGCCUUCAAAGUUAUUAUUGAGUUCCUUACUCAAACAUUA
rnacentral:tRNA from 1 species